rnacentral:rRNA from 1 species
UCUGGUGGCGAUAGCGAAGAGGUCACACCCGUUCCCAUCCCGAACACGGAAGUUAAGCUCUUCAGCGCCGAUGGUAGUUGGGGGAUUCCCCCUGUGAGAGUAGGACGCUGCCGGGC